UACAGAGGUUUCAAGCGUUGUUCGGAUUCAUUGGGCGUAAAGGGUGCGUAGGUGGCGUCGUAAGUCGGGUGUGAAAUUUCGGAGCUUAACUCCGAAACUGCAUUCGAUACUGCGGUGCUUGAGGACUGGAGAGGAGACUGGAAUUUACGGUGUAGCAGUGAAAUGCGUAGAGAUCGUAAGGAAGACCAGUGGCGAAGGCGGGUCUCUGGACAGUUCCUGACACUGAGGCACGAAGGCCAGGGGAGCAAACGGG
rnacentral:rRNA from 1 species